UAUUUUUAAGAAAGUUAGUGGAGCCUCAUAAUCCUUCCACUUGGCUAUUGCAACCUAAGAGCAGGUCUCAAAAACAAUUUACUUUGUGGUAUGUAAUAUAUAGUAUACACAUGAGAGAAUGAUAAAUAAAAGUAUAAUUACUGUUCAGAAGUUAACUUUCAGAAGCAGACCUGCAGCGGCAAGGGGCGGUAAAGGGUGGUAAAGUCCAAAUGUGAGUGAUCACCAUGAAGUUCUGAAGGGCUCUUAUUGAAAGUGACAAUUUUGACAUGUGAGAAGCCUUUCCAAUCCCUAUUACACAGGAUGAAAAGAGAGACUUUAAAGUAGUGGCUGCCUAAGGAGAAGGAAGGGUCUUGAUGCUAUUCCUAAAACAAGUUAUGAAGAACUUGCACUAUCUCAGGGCCAGUAUCUCAGUAUUAAUUAUUUGAGCACCUGUAAAAUAAAUUGAGAAGCUGAUUUCCUCUAUGGAGCCUAAU